GAUGAACGCUGGCGGCGUGCUUAACACAUGCAAGUCGAACGGAAAGGCCAGUGCUUGCACUGGUACUCGAGUGGCGAACGGGUGAGUAACACGUGGGUGAUCUGCCCUGCACUUCGGGAUAAGCCUGGGAAACUGGGUCUAAUACCGGAUAGGACAAUGGUUUGGAUGCCGUUGUGGAAAGCUUUUUCGGUGUGGGAUGAGCUCGCGGCCUAUCAGCUUGUUGGUGGGGUAAUGGCCUACCAAGGCGUCGACGGGUAGCCGGCCUGAGAGAGUGUACGGCCACAUUGGGACUGAGAUACGGCCCAGAGUCCUACGGGAGGGAGCAGUGGGGAAUAUUGCACUAUGGGCGCAAGCCUGAUGCAGCGACGCCGCGUGGGGGAUGACGGCCUUCGGGUUGUAAACACCUUUCGCUAGGGACGAAGCGUAUUUGUGACGGUACCUGGAGAAGAAGCACCGGCUAACUACGUG
rnacentral:rRNA from 1 species